CCACCAUUGAUUUUCAUUACCAUAAUAUUGCUGAACAUAAUAAUGAAUAGUCCAUUUAUAUACAAAACAGCCAUUACUAUGAAAGAUGUGAAUAACAACAAUGAUCUACUGCUACAACAGCUAGAGCAAAUAUUUAAUGACGAUAUUAUUUCUUCUGUUGUGCUUCCAGAUUCAACAUAAUUUUUAUACAGGUUUCUUUCUAUAGGUUAAAAUCAUUUGCUCUCUCUCCUUGGCUAAUAAAGCAUUGUUGUAAAGAAUUUUUCAAGUAAAAAACCAAUCCAUGAAAGGGGCAAUGAACAAAGAGUUAUGGUGCAUAGACCAUACGAUCACAUAAGAUUACUUAGAAGCCUAAUGACAAAUUACCUAAAAUGGAAACUCUUCAAGUCAGAAAAAAUAGAGUUUAGGUAAUACCACCAAUAUAUUUUUAUGAAUCGAAAAUUAGAUCUUCUUAAAAGCCUAAACCAAUUGAAUCCUUUUUCAUGUUGACAUCUGCUUGCCACAUUUAAGAAGGAAAGCUUACAGCUCAAAUGCAUCUAGUAAUCACCAUUUCCAUGGCAAAGCCACAUCAACAACAUAUAGAGAAUUUCAAAAAGAUGAACAAGCCUAUCAGACGAUGACCAAGUUGGUCCAGAAGGCUUUAGUCCAAAGACACGCUGAACCAAUAGACAGAAAUUCAUAGGCCACAGUAAAGUAUUUUGAUUAGGAAAUUCGAAACUUACAAUCAUAAAAUUGAAAACACAACUGAUUUAGUUAGAAAUUCUAUGCUAAUUGGCUACUUCACAUUAAUUUGCCAAUGAUGGUACAAUUGAAAAUAAGAACACAAUAUGAGGCUAAUCUAUAUGUGCUAGACAAAUCAAAUAGAUUCAGCAACAACAAUACUAACAGCCAGACUAGUGCUCAGUGAGUCAUCAUUAGACUUAAGCCUACCAUUGAUAGGCACAAUGAACUCAAUAAAGCAUGGCUACCAUUCAUAGCAUUCAUUCAAGAAGCAAAAGAACAUUUAUGAAAAAUAAAUGCAUCGUGUAUGUCAAAGAUGAAAACUUAGGGAUUCUAGAGAUUCUAGCAGGACUUUCAUAGAACAAACCUGAAGUAUAUCCUUAACAUCCUCCCUAGUAAGUUUAUGCUGCUUCAAUAAUAGUUCAAUUCUUGCUCUCAUUCGAGAGUGCCUUCACAAAAAUCCGAAUCACAGAAAAGAGUCAUGACCACAAAAAGACAAAGUCACAAAUAGAACUCUGAUGAAUAGGUAAUUAUAUUAUAAAUGGUGGGACACAUACUCCGAGCACCAAAGAUGACCCAGAAUAACCGCUAUCAACUGCAGAUUCAUACAAAAUAAUGUUAGGAAAAGAAAACUUCUGAUAGCAUAAAGGCACUUAAAAACCAAAUGCUUGAAUUUCAAAUCGAAAUAAAGCCCUAUCUUCUAAACUUCUCCAAAUUAGCAUGAAAUUUUUAUGUAAUUUAUGGUUUUGAGACAGAGCAGUACAAUCUAGGGUUUAGGAAUAACAAAUCAAUGGUUUAACCAAAGUUGCAUUCAAGGAUUCAGGAUUAUACCAGUGAAAUCAAAGGAAAGCAAGGAGACACAAUACCCUUCCCUAACUCACUGGUGGGCCUGUAGUAUUCAGCACUUCCCUUUAGUGCCUCAUAAGCAAAGAUGCCAAAGUUGUGCACCUUCCAAUGACCGUUGCCUUUAGUGCCUCACAAGCAUAAUGUCGAAGUUCUUCAAGCUAAAAUGUUAACUUCAUUAGGCGUUCACUUCUGGCACCUCACACUUGUGCUUUAUACGUUGAAACUUAGAUAACUCCUUUGACUGUUUUUUAGUCAAAUCUAUAACUGGAUAAUGCUCUUAGUUUUCCUUUUCCUUUAAUAAUUCAAUUCAAUUAUGUUUAUAAGAAUACAUGUUCAUCCAGAGAUAUCUCAUUCUAGAAUCAUAUAAAUAGGGUUGUAAUUUCUGUUCUUAAGUAGUUGAGAUUUUAGGUUUCAAGAACUAGCGUAAGUUAAUCUUCUCAUGGUGUUUGGGAAUGUUUCACAAAUAUAUAAACCUUUCAUUGCAGUAUGAGAGCCUAAAAUCCGUAUGGGAUUUUGUUGCAUUAUUGUUACCAUGGUCCAAACUCCAAAAAGAAGAAUAUCAAUGCUUUGAGCAUUGAAAAUUGACAAUGACUGUUGAAACUACAUACUGGUUGAUGUACAACUUCCUACAACUGCAUUAUAAAGCCUACAAAAUAAGCAAGUCCACUUAUAAUACUAACCAAUUUUAAUGGCCAAAACUGACAGGAAAUCAGCAGUACAAAACCUAACCUGAAGAGUGUAGAGUCCAGAUUCCAGUCUUCGAUUGUAUCUUUCCUCUUCAUCUAUCUCUAAAUCAUCGAGCUCAAGCUGGUCCAUCCGUUCAGUCUCUACUUUUACUCUAUCUGAAUAUCUGAUAUAGAGCUCCAUAAGGCGGUCUAUCUUCUCACAUUCAUUUUCCACAAAUUUACUUAGCAAUCUGUCCCUUCUAGAACCUCUCAAUAUUCCACCAAAUAAUGAAGCAAUUAGGGAUACAAUGCGUUCUUCUAACUCCUCUUGGUAUCGUUCUUUCUUGUUCUUCUUGCUCGUGGGGAUCUUACCCAUGAAAGCUGCAAACGCUGUCUUCAAGCCCAAAACAUCCACAAACCGUUCACAUGCUGGUGGGUACUUGGUCAUGGCAAAAUCAAGUGCCCUUAUGGCAGACCCAUAAGCAGAUUUCUUCUGCUUCAUAAUAAUAAUCAUCAACUCCACUCCCUCAGCCUUUACAAACCUCUCUUUGUUUUCCAAUGGCAUCAACAAACAACACAAACAAUCGAAGAGAUUCUCUACCAUUUCCUCCUCAUCGGAGCUCUUGGGGUCCUUAGACUUGUACAUUGCCACAGCCUGCAAAACCACAUCCACACCAUUCAUCUGCCCCAACUUCUUCUGGUUCGCAGUGCUGUUCUGCAACAAAAUCGCCAAUAUCUCCGAGGCAUACUGCUUGUUGCUAUCGAACUCCCUCACCUUUAUCUUCCCUAACAACCACCGGAGUAUCUUGGUUCUUUCACACACCAAUUCCGCAACCGCCGGCUUCACCUCUAUCAGAUUCUCGAUCGUCGCAAGCGAAUUAUACACAGCAGACAUCUCAUCAGGGUCCGUGUCCGACAAUCUCUGCAAAUUCUGAACCAGCAACUCCAAGACAUUGUUUUCUAUAAGGGCAUCAACAAGAACACGCGCAGGCUCAUCGUUAUCCUCAAGAACAUCCUCGUCGGUGAGGUCCUGAAGCAACUGGACGACGUCAAUAGCUAUAUCAGUGUUAUCAUGAGAAAGGAGCCCGAUAAUAGAAGGAAUAGUGUUAAGAUUGACGAGGUCUGGAUAAAGCUCGGGCCCUCCGGCGAGGAUUUUGAGCUUUUGGAGCUCUUGGUGGAGCUCGAUCUCGGAGUCGGCGAAGCGUUCAGGCUGGUCAGGGUACUUGAGGCGGGCCUCGAUGUUCUCUUUGUAACGGCGCUCGAAGGAGAGGACAAGCUUCUUCAGAGUACGAAGGUCGAGCACUUCGACAGCGCUUUCCUUUUGGGAUUUUUCGACAGCUUCCAAGAUGGAGAGGUCGAAGUUGUCGCUAUCGUUAUCUUUAGAAGGGAUGCCGUUGGCCGCAGGGAGCGGCGGAGAAGAGUCGCCGCGCUUGCGUUUGGGGUUGUAGCUGCGAGCGUUGGCCACUUCCAUUUCUGUGCCCUAUGGUGUCGCGAUCAGUCCCUAGAGACUAAUGUUGGUUUAAUCAGCCGACUGACG
rnacentral:misc_RNA from 1 species